rnacentral:rRNA from 1 species
CCUACGGGUGGCAGCAGUGAGGAAUAUUGGUCAAUGGUCGGGAGACUGAACCAGCCAAGCCGCGUGAGGGAUGAAGGUACAGCGUAUCGUAAACCUCUUUUGUCAGGGAACAAAGGCGGGGACGUGUCCCCGGAUGAGUGUACCUGAAGAAAAAGCAUCGGCUAACUCCGUGCCAGCAGCCGCGGUAAUACGGAGGCUGCGAGCGUUAUCCGGAUUUAUUUGGUUUAAAGGGUGCGCAGGCGGGUUGUUGCGUCAGUCGUCAAAGGCCGGGGCUCAACCCCGGACCCGCGUUGGAAACUGGCAGUCUCGAGUUGGAGAGAAGUAUGCGGAAUGCGAGGUGUAGCGGUGAAAUGCAUAGAUAUCGCGCAGAACUCCGAUUGCGAAGGCAGCAUGCCGGCUCCACACUGACGCUGAGGCACGAAAGCGUGGGUAUCGAACAGGAUUAGAUACCCUGGUAGUC